GGGGGUUUAGCUCAGUGGUUCCGGCACCCGCCUUGCAAGCACAAGGUCCCAAGUUCAAUCCCUGGUACCCCCC
rnacentral:tRNA from 1 species